AUACGUAGGUGACAAGCGUUAUCCGGAUUUACUGGGCGUAAAGGGCGUGUAGGCGGUCUUGCAAGUCAGAAGUGAAAUUCCUGAGCUCAACUCGGGCGCUGCUUCUGAAACUGCAGGACUUGAGUGCUGGAGGGGAUAGCGGAAUUCCUAGUGGAGCGGUAAAAUGCGCAGAUAUUAGGAAGAACACCGGUGGCGAAGGCGGCUAUCUGGACAAUAACUGACGCUGAGGCGCGAAAGCGUGGGGAGCAAACAGGAUUAGAUCCCCUGGUAGUCCACGCCGUAAACGAUGAAUACUAGGUGUAGGGGGUAUCGACUCCCUCUGUGCCGCAGUUAACACAAUAAGUAUUCCGCCUGGGGAGUACGGCCGCAAGGUUGAAACUUAAAGGAAUUGACGGGG
rnacentral:rRNA from 1 species